rnacentral:lncRNA from 1 species
UGGCUCAUGUGAUUAUGAAGGCUGACAAGUCCUAUCAUCCACCUUCUGCAAGCUGGAAGCCCAGGAAAGCUGGUGGUGUAGCUCCAGUCUGAAGCUGAAGAUCUGAGAACGAGGUGGGAGUCCUAGUCCAGAGCGGUAGGAGACCAAUUCUCCAGCUCAAGGAGUCAGGCAGAGAGCAGAUCCUCUCUCCUUUGUGUUUAAAAAAUUUUUUUGUAAUGUUUAUUUAUUUUUGAGACAGAAGGAGACAGAGCAUGAACGGGGGAGGGUCAGAGAGAGAGGGAGACACAGAAUGUGAAACAGGCUCCAGGCUCUGAGCUGUCAGCACAGAGCCCGACGCGGGGCUCAAACUCACGGACCGCGAGAUCAUGACCUGAGCUGAAGUCAGAUGCUUAACCGACUGAGACACCCAGGCACCCCUCUCCUUCGUGUUUUAAUUCUAUUUGGACCCUCCAAGGCUUGGCUGAUGCCCACCCACCCUGGGGAGGGUGAUCCACGUUACUCGGUCCACUGAUUCACAUAUCGAUCUCAUUAGGGAAACAGCCUCACAGACACACCCAGAAGUGAUGUUUAGCCACAUAGCUGGGCCCUUGUGACCCAGUCGAGAUAACACACAAAAUCGACCAUUAUAGAUAGGUACUUUCGGUAGAAGGACGAUUCAGGAUAAGCAUUUCUGUUUGUAUCAGUAGUUAUAGUUUCUGCAGCCCCAGGCUUUGUGGCACCACCCGGAGGGCCAGAACGUCGAUUUGGAAUUUUAGGACUUAUCCAAAUCAUGUACUAAUUGGACUUAUUGCCCAUCGGCCUGUAUCAGGAGUAGCCAGGCCAAACCUGCCAUUGAUGGCAGAUCUUCUGAACGUGAUCACAGUCCAUCAAAAAAGUCAGUUUAGAAAAGCUCCCUGUCUCAUUUUACGUCUCCAGCCACGGACAUUCUUCCUGCCCUUUGUCCAGACUCACGGAGGAAGGAGGCCAUAGUUUGCCUCGUCUACUUGGCUGUUAGAGGGGAGAGAGCUGGAACUAGAGAAGACACAGGGUUACUGCUGCACAAGUCCCCAGGGCAGCAAGGAGGGGAAGGCCCUGCCCUGUCCUUUCUUCUUAGCCUCCGUCAUUUUCUGGGACAUCUGAAACAGUGCCACUGCAGGGGUCAGUGGCGACUGGUGAAAACAGAGCAGGGAAAGCGCGAGGCUGGAUUCAGGGCAAACAGGCCCAGGACCGGUAAUGCAUCUUUGGGUAACCGUGAGUAUCGGUAAUGGACAGUAAUGACAGCCAACAUCUUUAAGCGCUUACUAAACGCUGGUAAGUAUGCUAAGUGUUUCAUGUGUGUCGACCGAUUAAUGUAGGUUAGGUAUGUGGAGAAGAAUGGCAGGAGACGGUGUUGCAGGAUGGAAUUAAAGGCAAGGCUUACAGGGGCGCCUGGGUGGCUCAGUUGGUUGGGCAUCUGACUUCAGCUCAGGUCGUGAUCUCACAUUCUGUGGGUUCGAGCCCCAUGUCGGGCUCUGUGCUGAUGGCUCAGAGCCUGGAGCCUGCUUCGGGUUCUGUGUCUCCCUCUCUCUGCCCCUCCCCGACUCGCACUCUGUCUCUCUCUCUCUCUCUCUCUCUCUCUCUCAAAAAUAAUAAAUAAACAUUAAAAAAAAAAUUUUUUUAAAGC